rnacentral:rRNA from 1 species
CUGCGAAGGGGGGACGGAGAAGGCUAUGUUAGCCGGGCGACGGUUGUCCCGGUUUAAGCAUGUAGGCGGAGGUUCCAGGUAAAUCCGGUACCUUUUAACGCUGAGGUGUGAUGACGAGGCACUACGGUGCUGAAGUAACAAAUGCCCUGCUUCCAGGAAAAGCCUCUAAGCAUCAGGUAACACGAAAUCGUACCCCAAACCGACACAGGUGGUCAGGUAGAGAAUACCAAGGCGCUUGAGAGAACUCGGGUGAAGGAACUAGGCAAAAUGGUGCCGUAACUUCGGGAGAAGGCACGCUGAUAUGUAGGUGAAGCCCCUGCGGGUGGAGCUGAAAUCAGUCGAAGAUACCAGCUGGCUGCAACUGUUUAUUAAAAACACAGCACUGUGCAAACACGAAAGUGGACGUAUACGGUGUGACGCCUGCCCGGUGCCGGAAGGUUAAUUGAUGGGGUUAGCGGCAACGCGAAGCUCUUGAUCGAAGCCCCGGUAAACGGCGGCCGUAACUAUAACGGUCCUAAGGUAGCGAAAUUCCUUGUCGGGUAAGUUCCGACCUGCACGAAUGGCGUAAUGAUGGCCAGGCUGUCUCCACCCGAGACUCAGUGAAAUUGAACUCGCUGUGAAGAUGCAGUGUACCCGCGGCAAGACGGAAAGACCCCGUGAACCUUUACUAUAGCUUGACACUGAACACUGGUCCUUGAUGUGUAGGAUAGGUGGGAGGCUUUGAAGCGUGGACGCCAGUCUGCGUGGAGCCGUCCUUGAAAUACCACCCUUUAAUGGCUGGUGUUCUAACGUAGACCCGUGAUCCGGGUUGCGGACAGUGUCUGGUGGGUAGUUUGACUGGGGCGGUCUCCUCCCAAAGAGUAACGGAGGAGCACGAAGGUUAGCUAAUCCUGGUCGGACAUCAGGAGGUUAGUGCAAUGGCAUAAGCUAGCUUGACUGCGAGAGUGACGGCUCGAGCAGGUGCGAAAGCAGGUCAUAGUGAUCCGGUGGUUCUGAAUGGAAGGGCCAUCGCUCAACGGAUAAAAGGUACUCCGGGGAUAACAGGCUGAUACCGCCCAAGAGUUCAUAUCGACGGCGGUGUUUGGCACCUCGAUGUCGGCUCAUCACAUCCUGGGGCUGAAGUAGGUCCCAAGGGUAUGGCUGUUCGCCAUUUAAAGUGGUACGCGAGCUGGGUUUAGAACGUCGUGAGACAGUUCGGUCCCUAUCUGCCGUGGGCGCUGGAGAAUUGAGGGGGGCUGCUCCUAGUACGAGAGGACCGGAGUGGACGCAUCACUGGUGUUCGGGUUGUCAUGCCAAUGGCACUGCCCGGUAGCUAAAUGCGGAAAAGAUAAGUGCUGAAAGCAUCUAAGCACGAAACUUGCCCCGAGAUGAGUUCUCCCUGACCCUUUAAGGGUCCUGAAGGAACGUUGAAGACGACGACGUUGAUAGGUCGGGUGUGUAAGCGCAGCGAUGCGUUGAGCUAACCGAUACUAAUGAACCGUGAGGCUUAACCUU